rnacentral:pre_miRNA from 14 species
GCCAAUGUCAGGGAAAGGAUUCUGCUGUCGGUCCCACUCCAAAGUUCACAAAAUGGGUGGUGGGCACAGAAUCCGGACUCUGCUUGUGGC